UACGGGAGGGGCAAGCGUUGUUCGGAAUUACUGGGCGUAAAGGGUGUGUAGGUGGCGCGCUAAGUCGGGUGUGAAAUUUCGGAGCUUAACUCCGAAACUGCAUUCGAUACUGGCGUGCUUGAGGACUGGAGAGGAGACUGGAAUUCAUGGUGUAGCAGUGAAAUGCGUAGAGAUCAUGAGGAAGACCAGUGGCGAAGGCGGGUCUCUGGACAGUUCCUGACACUGAGACACGAAGGCCAGGGGAGCAAACAGG
rnacentral:rRNA from 1 species